CCUAGGGUCGCUGCAGUCGAGAAUAGUCUACAAUGGACGAAAGUCUGAUAGUGCGACGCCGCGUGGAUGAAGAAGCAUUUCGGUGUGUAAAGUCCUUUUCUGUGUGAGCAAUGUUUUCCAGGUUAAUAGCUUGGAGAAAGCGAUAUUAACACAGGAAUAAGCUCCGGCUAACUCCGUGCCAGCAGCCGCGGUAACACGGGGGGAGCAAGCGUUGUCCGGAAUUACUAGGCGUAAAGGGUAAGUAGGCGGAAUUGUAAGUCAGAUGUUAAAGGCACCGGCUCAACCGGGGUAUGGCAUUUGAUACUGUAAUUCUAGAGUAAGGUGGGGGAAGACGGAAUUCCUGGUGUAGCGGUGGAAUGCGCAGAUAUCAGGAGGAACACCAGAGGCGCAGGCGGUCUUCUAUACCAUUACUGACGCUCAAUUACGAAGGUGUGGGUAUCAAACAGGAUUAGAUACCCGGGUAGUC
rnacentral:rRNA from 1 species